GAUGAACGCUGGCGGCGUGCUUAAUACAUGCAAGUCGAACGAAGAGCCUUUGUAGCAAUACGGAGGUUUCUUAGUGGCGAACGGGUGCGUAACGCGUUGGUGACCUGCCCUAAAGUGUGGGAUAACAGUUCGAAAGGACUGCUAAUACCGCAUGUGAUCAUCGGGAUUAGAAGCUGAUGAUUAAAGGAGAAAUUCGCUUUAGGAGGGACCUGCGUCCCAUCAGCUAGUUGGUGAGGUAAUGGCCCACCAAGGCUACGGACGGGUAGGGGACCUGAGAGGGUGGUCCCCCACAUUGGCACUGAAACACGGGCCAAACACCUACGGGAGGCUG
rnacentral:rRNA from 1 species